GAGUUUGAUCCUGGCUCAGGACGAACGCUGGCGGCGCGCCUAACACAUGCAAGUCGAACGAGAGAGAGGAAGCUUGCUUCCUCAAUCGAGUGGCGAACGGGUGAGUAACGCGUGAGGAACCUGCCUCAAAGAGGGGGACAACAGUUGGAAACGACUGCUAAUACCGCAUAAGCCCACAGGUCGGCAUCGACCAGAGGGAAAAGGAGCAAUCCGCUUUGAGAUGGCCUCGCGUCCGAUUAGCUAGUUGGUGAGGUAAUGGCCCACCAAGGCGACGAUCGGUAGCCGGACUGAGAGGUUGAACGGCCACAUUGGGACUGAGACACGGCCCAGACUCCUACGGGAGGCAGCAGUGGGGAAUAUUGCACAAUGGGGGAAACCCUGAUGCAGCGACGCCGCGUGGAGGAAGAAGGUCUUCGGAUUGUAAACUCCUGUUGUUGAGGAAGAUAAUGACGGUACUCAACAAGGAAGUGACGGCUAACUACGUGCCAGCAGCCGCGGUAAAACGUAGGUCACAAGCGUUGUCCGGAAUUACUGGGUGUAAAGGGAGCGCAGGCGGGAAGACAAGUUGGAAGUGAAAUCUAUGGGCUCAACCCAUAAACUGCUUUCAAAACUGUUUUUCUUGAGUAGUGCAGAGGUAGGCGGAAUUCCCGGUGUAGCGGUGGAAUGCGUAGAUAUCGGGAGGAACACCAGUGGCGAAGGCGGCCUACUGGGCACCAACUGACGCUGAGGCUCGAAAGUGUGGGUAGCAACAGGAUUAGAUACCCUGGUAGUCCACACCGUAAACGAUGAUUACUAGGUGUUGGAGGAUUGACCCCUUCAGUGCCGCAGUUAACACAAUAAGUAAUCCACCUGGGGAGUACGACCGCAAGGUUGAAACUCAAAGGAAUUGACGGGGGCCCGCACAAGCAGUGGAGUAUGUGGUUUAAUUCGACGCAACGCGAAGAACCUUACCAAGUCUUGACAUCCUGCGACGCACAUAGAAAUAUGUGUUUCCUUCGGGACGCAGAGACAGGUGGUGCAUGGUUGUCGUCAGCUCGUGUCGUGAGAUGUUGGGUUAAGUCCCGCAACGAGCGCAACCCUUACUGUCAGUUACUACGCAAGAGGACUCUGGCAGGACUGCCGUUGACAAAACGGAGGAAGGUGGGGAUGACGUCAAAUCAUCAUGCCCUUUAUGACUUGGGCUACACAUGUACUACAAUGGCGUUAAACAAAGAGAAGCAAGACCGCGAGGUGGAGCAAAACUCAGAAACAACCUCCCAGUUCGGACUGCAGGCUGCAACUCGCCUGCACGAAGUCGGAAUUGCUAGUAAUCGUGGAUCAGCAUGCCACGGUGAAUACGUUCCCGGGCCUUGUACACACCGCCCGUC
rnacentral:rRNA from 1 species